AUUGAACGCUGGCGGCAGGCUUAACACAUGCAAGUCGAGCGCGCGGCGGACGGGAGAGUAAUGUCUGGGAAACUGCCUGAUGGAGGGGGAUAACUACUGGAAACGGUAGCUAAUACCGCAUACCAUCAGAUGUGCCCAGAUGGGAUUAGCUAGUAGGUGGGGUAAUGGCUCACCUAGGCGACGCUCCCUAGAUGGUCUGAGAGGGUGACCAGCCACACUGGAACGGAGACACGGCCCAGACUCCUACGGGAGGCAGCAGUGGGGAAUAUUGCACAAUGGGCGCAAGCCUGAUGCAGCCAUGCCGCGUGUGUGAAGAAGGCCUGCGGGUUGUAAAGCACUUUCAGCGAGGAGGCGUUACUCGCAGAAGAAGCACCGGCUAACUCCGUGCCAGCCGCCGCGGUAAUAC
rnacentral:rRNA from 1 species